AAGUCGUAACAAGGUUUCCGUAGGUGAACCUGCGGAAGGAUCAUUAACACGUGUAAACAACUCACGUACAAACCAAACGCGAACUGUGACUAUAACUUUUAACACCCCCAUAUACCUUCUGAUCUAAUUCUCUGUGUUUCGACAUGUGAUUCGAUAAGAACUCCUGAGCCCUCAACAAGCUCGGUCGCAGAUGCUGAUCUUGAGUGACUGGCGAAAUACAACAAACAAUAAAUACGAAACAACUCUUAGCAACGGAUAUCUUGGUUCUC
rnacentral:misc_RNA from 1 species